rnacentral:rRNA from 1 species
UACGAAGGGGGCUAGCGUUGCUCGGAAUUACUGGGCGUAAAGGGCGCGUAGGCGGCACUGUUAGUCAGGCGUGAAAUUCCUGGGCUCAACCUGGGGACUGCGCUUGAUACGGCAGAGCUAGAGGAUGGAAGAGGCUCGCGGAAUUCCCAGUGUAGAGGUGAAAUUCGUAGAUAUCUGGAGGAACACCGGUGGCGAAGGCGGGUCUCUGGGCCGAUACUGACGCUGAUACGCGAAAGCGCGGGGAUCAAACAGG